GGAGCAUUGCUCUGUGAGCCUGGAAACCUCUCUGGUCUGUGAUGACUCCAGGCCAUGGCAUUGGCAGAGCUGAUCGAGCUUCUCAGCUGGAUCCUGGUUAUGAGCCUUGGGCUGUCCCAGAGGUGACUGAGGAAGAAGGAGAUCACAACAUGCCAUGGAAGCUCCUCACCCGUGUUUGACUCCCUGUUUGGUUCCUGCAGUCCAUGGUGAUCAAGCCUCUUGGUGUAAUCCUGUUCCUGAGCCUGGGGGCAAUCCCAGGGCCGUCCCUGUAGGCAGCAGCUACUUGACUUCUUGACUUGAGUCUGUCCGUGAGCCUCGGGGCGACCCCACAGGUACGACCUUGGAACAAAUCACAGUAUCACAGUAUCACAGUAUGUUUGGGGUUGGAAGGGACCUCAAAAGCUCAUCCAGUCCAAUCCCCUUGCUGGAGCAGGAACACCCAGGUGAGGUCGCACAGGAACAUGUCCAGGCAGGUUUUGAAUGUCUCCAGAGAAGGAGACUCCACAACCCCCCUGGGCAGCCUGUUCAGUGCUCUGUCACCCUUACUGAGAAGAAGUUUUUUCUCAAAUUUAAG